AACGAACGCUGGCGGCAUGCCUAACACAUGCAAGUCGAACGAGACCUUCGGGUCUAGUGGCGCACGGGUGCGUAACGCGUGGGAACCUGCCCUUAGGUUCGGAAUAACUCCCCGAAAGGGGUGCUAAUACAGGAUAAUGUCUUCGGACCAAAGAUUUAUCGCCGUUGGAUGGGCCCGCGUUGGAUUCGCUAGUUGGUAGGGUAAAAGCCUGCCAAGGCGACGAUCCAUAGCUGGUCUGAGAGGAUGAUCAGCCACACUGGGACUGAGACACGGCCCAGACUCCUACGGGAGGGAGCAGUGGGGAAUAUUGGACAAGGGGCGAAAGCCUGAUCCAGCAAUGCCGCGUGAGUGAUGAAGGCCUUAGGGUUGUAAAGCUCUUUUACCCGGGAUGAUAAUGACAGUACCGGGAGAAUAAGCACCGGCUAACUCCGUG
rnacentral:rRNA from 1 species